AACGAGCGACGUGACAUAAGAGGUCCCAAGGGAGCAAACCUGAAAGCCAGAACCUCCUGAAUACACAGACUGCCAGGGGGCCAGAUGAUGUUAGACACUCCGAAGAUAUAAGAAGCAUCACUUCCUUCAGAUAGAGUCGGGUCUUGCUCUCUCACCUAGGCUGGAGUACAGUGACAGUGACCACUGCAACCUCCACCUCCCAGGCUCAAGCGAUCCUCCUGCUUCAGCACCCCCACACCAGGCAACAUAACAAGACCCCCAUCUCUACAAAAAAUUAAAAAAGAAUUGUCAGGUCAGAUCCUGGCAGCAGCUGCAGCGGCUCUCCUUGCCAUUUCCUUUUCACUUUUGGAAACAUGGGCUCCCAUGUGGCUGUCUUUGAUGAUGUCAUCCAGUUGUUCAGUGACAUGAAAGUGUGCAAGUCUUCAACACUAGAAAAGGCGAAGAAGCGCAAGAAGUUGCUGCUCUUCUGCCUGAGUGAGUACAAGAAGAACAUCAUUCUCGCAGAGGCCAACAAGAUCCUGGUAAUUAAUGUGGACCAAACCAUUGAUGAUCCCUAUACCACCUUUGUCAAGAUGCUGACAGGUAAGGACUGCCCUACGCCCCCUAUGAUGCCACCAAGGACAGCAAGAAGAAGGACCUGGUGUUUGUCUUCUGGGCCUCUGAGUCUGCAUCCACUAAGAGCAAAAUGAUCUAUGCCAGCUCCAAGGACACCAUCAAGAAGAAGCUAGGGGUCAGCACCCUCAUCUUCCUGGAGGACAAACCUUUGUGAUCCCCUCCAGUCCCUUUCCUGGAGAAUCUAGUAGUCCCAGACCUGCCCUCAGGGAUUGCAGGCUGCCCCCUUCCUGCCAGACUGGAGGGGCUGGGGGAAUCCCAGCAGAGGGAAGGCACUCCCUUUACCCCCAUUGCCAAACAGACCCCCAACUCCCUGGAUUUUCCUCCUCUCUCCAUCCCUGACAGUUCUGGCCUUCCCAAACUGCUUGGAUAUUCUGCUUCCUCUUGGGUUGAAGCAGACCAACUUCCCCCAGGAACCCCAGUUGGGGAAGGCCUAUAUAUAUAUUUUAAAAACAACCCCGCUCUCCACCUGUUCCUCCCCCUUCCCAUGCUACAACUUCUAACCACAACAGUGACUCUGUGCUUGUCUGUUUAGUUCUGUGUAUAAAUGGAAUGUUAUGGAGAUGACCCCUUCCCACGCCAGCUGGUUCCUCUCCCUUGGUUAUGGCCACUAAUGGAAACCAGACUAGUAAGCGACCUUUAAUUUAAAAAAAAAAGAAAAGACAAUAAAAUAAUACUCAAAUGUUUAAGCAGAUUUCCCUAAACAGAAAGAGUAGAAUAGAAUUCAUAUGAAUAAGCAAACAAUUUAAUUGUUACUACUGGGCAUUAUGGUAUGGAUUUUGCUUUCCUACAGAAAAUAACUCCACAACUGAUUUUAUUAGUAUAUAAUUAAUUUCUUGCUAAGAGUCAUUUUCACUUAUCUCGCCAUUGGAUAUUUGUGAAAUCACUAAUAUUUCUUUUAUCCAUCAUUCAUAUGUAAGUAAAUAAGUACCUUACUUCCUCUUUCCAGGCAAGCAGUGGUUCCAAAUAUAGCCAUGUGUCACAUAACAGGGAUUUGUUCUGACAUGAAUCCAUAGACAAUUUUGUCUUUGUGCAAACAUGAUAAAGUGUACUUGCACAAACCUAGAUGGUGUAGCCCACUACACACCUAAGCUAUGUGGUAUAGUCUGUUGCUUCUAGGCUACAAACCUGUACAGCAUGCUACUAUACUGAGUACUGUAGCCAAGUGUAACAUAAUGGUCAGUAUUUGUGUAUCUAAAUAUACCUAAAUAUAGAAAAGGUACAGUAAAAAUAUGGUAUAAAAGAUAAAUGGUAUACCUGUAUAAGGCAUUUACUAUGAAUGGGACUUGCAGGACUGGAAGUUGCUCUGGGUGAGUCAAUGAGUGAGUGGUGAGUCACUGUGAAGGCCUAGGACAUUAUUGUACACUACUGUAAACUGCAUAAACACUGUACACUAGGCUAUAAUUUAUAAAAAAUUUCUUCAAUAAGUUAUUAAAUAAUAACAAAGUAAUAAGUUAUUAUUACAUAUCAA